GGCCUGAGAGGGUGACCGGCCACACUGGGACUGAGACACGGCCCAGACUCCUACGGGAGGCAGCAGUGGGGAAUAUUGCACAAUGGGCGCAAGCCUGAUGCAGCGACGCCGCGUGAGGGAUGACGGCCUUCGGGUUGUAAACCUCUUUCAGCAGGGAAGAAGCGAAAGUGACGGUACCUGCAGAAGAAGCGCCGGCUAACUACGUGCCAGCAGCCGCGGUAAUACGUAGGGCGCAAGCGUUGUCCGGAAUUAUUGGGCGUAAAGAGCUCGUAGGCGGCUUGUCGCGUCUGCUGUGAAAGCCCGGGGCUUAACUCCGGGUGUGCAGUGGGUACGGGCAGGCUAGAGUGCAGUAGG
rnacentral:rRNA from 1 species